UACAGAGGGGGCAAGCGUUGUUCGGAAUUACUGGGCGUAAAGGGCGCGUAGGCGGCCCGCUAAGUCGAACGUGAAAUCCCCGGGCUCAACCCGGGAACUGCGUCCGAUACUGGCAGGCUUGAAUCCGGGAGAGGGAUGCGGAAUUCCAGGUGUAGCGGUGAAAUGCGCAGAUAUCAGGAGGAACACCAGCGGCGAAGGCGGCGCUCUGGGCCGGUACUGACGCUGAGGAGCGAAAGCGUGGGGAGCAAACAGG
rnacentral:rRNA from 1 species